UGCCGCGUGAGUGAAGAAGGUCUUCGGAGUUGUAAAGCUCUUUCGGACGGGGACGAUGAUCGACGGUACCCGUAGAAGAAGCCCCGGCUAACUUCGUGC
rnacentral:rRNA from 1 species